GGAGACGCUGCUGAUGAGUUGAAACCUUCUGCACGACACUUCCUCCUACGGGUGUUAGACAGAAAAUACACACUCUGACACACACAUUCCCUCACAGACAUGCACAGAGACACACACACACAUACUUUCUCACAUUGAUUACUAGUUUACUUUUGGAAAGCGAUGCGAUGGGAAUGAGAUCUUCUAUUUUUCAGACAGGUAGAAAAUAUGUCUAAGAAUAACAGGGAGGGUCUUUUGAAACCUGAACUGAGAUGUUCCCCAGUUGGAAAUAUCGCUAAAACAUCUUCCUGUCCAAACAGAAGAUGGUCCCCUCAGUCCUCAGGUCCCUGUCAGACCUACUGAUCUCUCAGUCCUGAGGUCCCUGUCAGACCUACUGAUCUCUCAGUCCUCAGGUCCCUGUCAGACCUACUGAUCUCUCUCUGUCCUCAGGUCCCUGUCAG